GCCAUGUUCAAGUCUGAGAAACACGGAUGCCCGCAGGUGAAGCUGCUCCUGCCGGCCCAGAGGCCACACUCCGAGGAUGGCUCAGCCUUGGCUGCGUGUCAGCCUGGCUGGGGCUGUCAGAAGUGUGCAGCUGUGGCCUCCCGCUGAAGAUUCGACUCAGAAACCGUCUGCUGCCAGGAAAACCAUGGAAUCGGCCCCUCCCAGGUGUGCAGCUGCCUCUCAUCUUCCUUUCAUCCCUGUCAAGGUAGGCCCUCUGCUUGCACACCUCCAGGGACGGGGAGCUCACUCAUUACCAAGGCAGCUUGUUCUGUUGCUGGACAGUCCUGACCAUGAGAACGUGCUUCCUUAGGUUGACCUGGAGUCUGUCUCCUGGGGUCCCUCUCCCACCCCUAAUAAACACACCUUUGGCCCCUCUGGGGUCAGAGAACAUUCUGCAC
rnacentral:lncRNA from 1 species